ensembl:lncRNA
CCCUUAUAGAGGGAAGCAUCCUUCUCCCCUGAGUAGUGAAGGCUUCUAUCACAUCCUGUCUACUGUCUGCUGUACACAUUGGGGUGUCACCCCAGGACUUUGUGUAAGAUCCCCGUGUCCAGUGAACUCUCCAUGCCUCUGUCACUGUCUCCAGGCUUUUUGUUUGGUCCCGAGGCUGGGCAACUACAAGACUUGUGGGCCUGUGGGGUGCAAUACAACAGAAGUGAAGUGAAGUGAAGUGAAAGUCGCUCAGUUGUGUCCGCCUCUUUGUGAUCCCAGGGACUAUAUAGUGAUCCCAUGGAAUUCUCCAGGCCAGAAUACUGGAGUCCUAAAGGAGCUGCCAUUUGGGAUCGGUCUGGUUUUCUGUUGGUCCUGUAAUGUACACUAUUUCCAAGAGGCCCCUAGAUGUGUGGAAAGUCAGGAGUAUAUCACGUGAAAUGCUGGUCUGAAUGAAGCACAAGCUGGAAUCAAGAUUGCCGGGAGAAAUAUCAAUAACCUCAGAUAUGCAGAUGGCACCACCCUUAUGGCAGAAAGUGGAGAGGAACUAAAGAGCCUC